GGCCGCGGUAUCCUAACCGUGCAAAGGUAGCAUAAUCACUUGUCUCCUAAAUAGGGACUAGAAUGAACGGUUAAAUGAGGACUUUACUGUCUCUUACAUCCGACCAAUAAACCUGAUCUUUCAGUCCAAAAGCUGAAAUAAACUCAUAAGACGAGAAGACCCUGUGGAGCUUCAAAACCAAACCCACCCCACAUGUUUAUCUUGGUUUUUAGUUGGGGCAACUUUGGAGUACAAACCACCCUCCAAUUACGGAAUCACAAUUUUAGAUGUACAUAUCAAAAUUUUAUCCUGACCCAGCAGUUAUCUAUUAAACUAUCUGAACUACGAACCAAGUUACCCCAGGGAUAACAGCGCCAUCCUCUUCUAGAGUUCCUAUCGACAAGAGGGUUUACGACCUCGAUGUUGGAUCAGGACACCCCUAUAGUGCAGCCGCUAUAAAAGGU
rnacentral:rRNA from 1 species